rnacentral:rRNA from 1 species
AGGUAAGCUACUAAGAGCGAAUGGUGGAUGCCUUGACUGGUAAAGGCGAUGAAGGACGUACUAGACUGCGAUAAGCUACGGGGAGCUGUCAAGAAGCUUUGAUCCGUAGAUUUCCGAAUGGGGCAACCCAAUGUAUAGAGAUAUACAUUACCUAUAUAGGAGCGAACGAGGGGAAUUGAAACAUCUUAGUACCCUCAGGAAAAGAAAUCAAUAGAGAUUGCGUCAGUAGCGGCGAGCGAAAGCGCAAGAGGGCAAACCCAGUGCUUGCACUGGGGGUUGUAGGACUGCAAUGUGCAAGAGGUGAGUUUAGCAGAACAUUCUGGAAAGUAUAGCCAUAGAGGGUGAUAGUCCCGUAUGCGAAAAACAAACCUUAGCUAGCAGUAUCCUGAGUAGGGCGGGACACGAGGAAUCCUGUCUGAAUCCGGGUCGACCACGAUCCAACCCUAAAUACUAAUACCAGAUCGAUAGUGCACAAGUACCGUGAGGGAAAGGUGAAAAGAACUGAGGUGAUCAGAGUGAAAUAGAACCUGAAACCAUUUGCUUACAAUCAUUCAGAGCCCUAUGUAGCAAUACAGGGUGAUGGACUGCCUUUUGCAUAAUGAGCCUGCGAGUUGUGGUGUCUGGCAAGGUUAAGCAAACGUGAAGCCGUAGCGAAAGCGAGUCUGAAUAGGGCGCUUAGUCAGAUGCUGCAGACCCGAAACGAAGUGAUCUAUCCAUGAGCAAGUUGAAGCUAGUGUAAGAACUAGUGGAGGACUGAACCCAUAGGCGUUGAAAAGCCCCGGGAUGACUUGUGGAUAGGGGUGAAAGGCCAAUCAAACUUCGUGAUAGCUGGUUCUCUCCGAAAUAUAUUUAGGUAUAGCGUUGUGUCGUAAUAUAAGGGGGUAGAGCACUGAAUGGGCUAGGGCAUACACCAAUGUACCAAACCCUAUCAAACUCCGAAUACCUUAUAUGUAAUCACAGCAGUCAGGCGGCGAGUGAUAAAAUCCGUCGUCAAGAGGGAAACAACCCAGACUACCAGCUAAGGUCCCUAAAUCUUACUUAAGUGGAAAACGAUGUGAAGUUACUUAAACAACCAGGAGGUUGGCUUAGAAGCAGCCAUCCUUUAAAGAAAGCGUAAUAGCUCACUGGUCUAGUGAUUUUGCGCGGAAAAUAUAACGGGGCUAAAGUAAGUACCGAAGCUGUAGACUUGCGCACAACUUAGAUUAUUUAAGUUUAGAAUAUGAGAAACUAAGUUAUAUGUUUAGUUAUAUUUUUACUGAUUUUUAUAGAGUAAAGAUAGAAAUAAAACUUAGUAAAAUCAGUAAAAAUAUUCUUAGAUUAAAGUUAAGUAGUUUAAGUUGUGUGCAAGUGGUAGGAGAGCGUUCUAUUUGCGUCGAAGGUAUACCGGUAAGGAGUGCUGGAGCGAAUAGAAGUGAGCAUGCAGGCAUGAGUAGCGAUAAUUAAUGUGAGAAUCAUUAACGCCGUAAACCCAAGGUUUCCUACGCGAUGCUCGUCAUCGUAGGGUUAGUCGGGUCCUAAGUCGAGUCCGAAAGGGGUAGACGAUGGCAAAUUGGUUAAUAUUCCAAUACCAACAUUAGUGUGCGAUGGAAGGACGCUUAGGGCUAAGGGGGCUAGCGGAUGGAAGUGCUAGUCUAAGGUCGUAGGAGGUUAUACAGGCAAAUCCGUAUAACAAUACUCCGAGAACUGAAAGGCUUUUUGAAGUCUUCGGAUGGAUAGAAGAACCCCUGAUGCCGUCGAGCCAAGAAAAGUUUCUAAGUUUAGCUAAUGUUGCCCGUACCGUAAACCGACACAGGUGGGUGGGAUGAGUAUUCUAAGGCGCGUGGAAGAACUCUCUUUAAGGAACUCUGCAAAAUAGCACCGUAUCUUCGGUAUAAGGUGUGGUUCGCUUCGU